rnacentral:rRNA from 1 species
GAUGAACGCUGGCGGCGUGCCUAAUACAUGCAAGUCGAGCGAACGGACGAGAAGCUUGCUUCUCUGAUGUUAGCGGCGGACGGGUGAGUAACACGUGGAUAACCUACCUAUAAGACUGGGAUAACUUCGGGAAACCGGAGCUAAUACCGGAUGAUAUUUUGAACCGCAUGGUUCAAAAGUGAAAGACGGUCUUGCUGUCACUUAUAGAUGGAUCCGCGCUGCAUUAGCUAGUUGGUAAGGUAACGGCUUACCAAGGCAACGAUGCAUAGCCGACCUGAGAGGGUGAUCGGCCACACUGGAACUGAGACACGGUCCAGACUCCUACGGGAGGCAGCAGUAGGGAGUCUUCCGCAAUGGGCGAAAGCCUGACGGAGCAACGCCGCGUGAGUGAUGAGGGUCUUCGGAUCGUAAAACUCUGUUAUUAGGGAAGAACAUAUGUGUAAGUAACUGUGCACAUCUUGACGGUACCUAAUCAGAAAGCCACGGCUAACUACGUG